rnacentral:rRNA from 1 species
ACACGUAGGGGGCGAGCGUUGUCCGGAAUUACUGGGCGUAAAGGGCGCGUAGGCGGCCUAUUAAGUCAGAUGUGAAACCCCUGGGCUUAACCUAGGGCUUGCAUUUGAAACUGAAAGGCUUGAGGGCAGGAGAGGAAAGCGGAAUUCCCAGUGUAGCGGUGAAAUGCGUAGAUAUUGGGAGGAACACCAGUGGCGAAGGCGGCUUUCUGGACUGAACCUGACGCUGAGGCGCGAAAGCCAGGGUAGCAAACGGGAUUAGAUACCCCGGUAGUCCUGGCUGUAAACGAUGGAUACUAGGUGUGGGAGGUAUCGACCCCUUCUGUGCCGCAGUUAACACAUUAAGUAUCCCGCCUGGGGAGUACGGCCGCAAGGCUGAA